rnacentral:lncRNA from 1 species
UGUGCCCGCGGCCUAUUUUUGGCACACGGAGGCGCCUCGCAAAGUCUCGCGCCAUUCCGAGUCCGGUGGACGAAGUUGGCCAGCCCCACCCCCCAAGGCUAUAGCCCACCCGUUUUUGUGGCCUUUUUCCGCUGGACGAACUCGGUGUUCCGGCCUUCGGGCGGUUAUUUUUAGGCAUGGCUGUGCCCGCGGCCUAUUUUUGGCACACGGAGGCUCCUCGCAAAGUCUCGCGCCAUUCCGAGUCCAGCAGACGAAGUUGGCCAGCCCCACCCCCCAAGGCUAUAGCCCACCCGUUUUUGUGGCCUUUUUCCGCUGGACGAACUUGGCACUCCGGCCUUCGGGCCGUUAUUAUUGGGCGCGGCUGUGCCCGUGGCCUAUUUUUGGCACACAGAGGCACCUCACAAAUUCUCGCGCCAUUCCGAGUCCGGCGGACGAAGUGGGCCAGCCCCACCCCCCAAGGCUAUGGCACACCCGUUUUUGUGGCCAUUU